GAUGCCUGUCUGUUGCAUUUUAAAGUGUAGUUCGCGGAAAAGCAAAAAUCAGCCUCGAUUGACGCAUCACAGAUUUCCAAAGAAUGAAGGAUUGAGAAGGAAGUGGUUAGAGGCUGUCGGCGAGGAAAAUAUUAACCCUCGGCACAAAGAGUGGUAUCUUUGCUCUUUGCAUUUUGAAGAAAGCUGUUUCAACAGAACUCUUGAUGUCACAAGAUUACGUGAUUAUGCAGUCCCCUCAAUAUUUCCAACAUCGGUAACAAAGUCAUUGGUUCUGUGUGAAACGGGCAAUGUGAUGACUGAUGUUGCUUGUACAUCUGCAAGUUUUUCAUCAUUACCAAUGUUACCAAUACAACAUCACUCUAUGGAAAAACUACAAAAAUAGGUCAUCGUGGAUCAGAAAAUUCAGGCAUUAGAAGAAAAAUGCACAAAGCAAAGAAAGAUAUGAUCAAUAUAUAAUCAAGUCUAU